CUACGGGUUGCUCCAGUGGGGGAUAUUGCACAAUGGAGGAAACUCUGAUGCAGCAACGCCGCGUGAAGGAAGAAGGUUUUCGGAUUGUAAACUUCUAUCAGCAGGGAAGAAAAUGACUGUACCUGACUAAGAAGCCCCGGCUAACUACGUGCCAGCAGCCGCGGUAAUACGUAGGGGGCAAGCGUUAUCCGGAAUUACUGGGUGUAAAGGGUACGUAGGCGGUCCAUUAAGUCAGAUGUGAAAGCCCGAGGCUCAACCUCGGGACUGCAUUUGAAACUGGCGGACUAGAGUACAGGAGAGGUAAGUGGAAUUCCUAGUGUAGCGGUGAAAUGCGUAGAUAUUAGGAAGAACACCAGUGGCGAAGGCGGCUUACUGGACUGUAACUGACGCUGAGGUACGAAAGCGUGGGGAGCGAACAGGAUUAGAUACCCCCGUAGUC
rnacentral:rRNA from 1 species